GUUUUCUUGUAGAUCCGGCAAAGAACCCAAUCAUCAAGCCUCAUUGCAGUGGAAGAUGAAUCUUUAGGUUUGACAGGUUUGAUGUUGUAGGCGAGGGCAUCAGCUAGGCGAUAUUCAUGCAUAAUCCAAUUAGUCUUGAUUCCCUUUGGAGGCCUUCCCUUGUAGAAGACGAGAGCUUUCUUAACACCAAUGUUCUCUUGCACUCCCACACCACCACCACCACCACCUGCAGGCAUUGUUGACGAUGCCACUAUGACCUUGUCUGUUCCAGUUGCCUUCCAAUACCCUGAAGCUGCUGCUCUGUUAGGCCUAGCUCCAUUGGGAUACUUACGAUCUCUAGGACUGAAAAAGUACCAUUCUUUCUCUCCAAAGGCAGCCAUAGCUGGUAAGUCCCAUGGAUCAAACUUGUAGAUAUCAACAUCUGCAAUGAUGGAAACAGGGAAGGGUGUGGAUGCAAUCUUUUUCUUUAGGUAAUGGAGGAUGAGCUCCUCAUCUGUUGGGUGGAACCUAAAACCUGGCGGCAAGCUUGAUUGUGGGUUCUUCAUGCCCAUAUCUAAAUGACACUCUGAACCCACCUAAUGAAGAUUAGUGAAACGCUUAUUGAAACUGUUCAAUAGGCUCUUAACAGCUUUAUGAGAUGAAAAGCAAGCGAGAGAGAGAGAGAAAGAGAG
rnacentral:misc_RNA from 1 species